GCCUAAAGCGUCCGUAGCCGGCUAUGUUAGUUCUCGGUUAAAUCCAUGUGCUCAACACAUGGGCUGUCGAGAAUACUGCAUAGCUAGGGGGUGGGAGAGGUAGACGGUACUCGGUAGGAAGGGGUAAAAUCCUUUGAUCUAUCGAUGACCACCAGUGGCGAAGGCGGUCUACCAGAACACGUCCGACGGUGAGGGAUGAAAGCUGGGGGAGCAAACCGGAUUAGAUACCCGGGUAGUCCCAGCUGUAAACUAUGCAAACUCAGUGAUGCAUUGGCUUGUGGCCAAUGCAGUGCCGCAGAGAAGUCGUUAAGUUUGCCGCCUGGGAAGUACGUACGCAAGUAUGAAACUUAAAGGAAUUGGCGGGGGAGCACCACAAGGGGUGAAGCCUGCGGUUCAAUUGGAGUCAACGCCAGAAAUCUUACCCGGAGAGACAGCAGAAUGAAGGUCAGGCUGAAGACUUUACCAGACAAGCUGAGAAGUGGUGCAUGGCCGUCGCCAGCUCGUGCCGUGAGAUGUCCUGUUAAGUCAGGUAACGAGCGAGAUCCCUGCCUCUAGUUGCCACCAUUACUCUCAGGAGUAGUGGGGCGAAUUAGCGGGACUGCCGCAGUUAAUGCGGAGGAAGGAGGGGGCCACGGCAGGUCAGUAUGCCCCGAA
rnacentral:rRNA from 1 species